rnacentral:lncRNA from 1 species
UUGACCCCUUAUAUAUAGCCUCGUUAUUCUUCUUUUAUUGUCUUACUUUUUAUCACAUUUUUUACUUUAGUUUAUUUAUUAACUAUUUCUUGAACUGCAUGGUUGGUUAAGGGCUUCUAAGGUAGAAUUUCACGGUAACGCUGUAUUCGGUGCAUGUGACAAAUAAGACUUGAUUUGAGCACUGUUUACCUUCCUGAACUACCUUCCAUAAGCUGCCUCUUCAGAUUUCUACUUUGAACACUUCACUGCCUACAAGACAUCCUAUAAUGGAAUCCACAGGAGGUUUAGGACUGAUCCUGUCUUGAGAUGAACUAAUUACAGUCAUAAUCUGGGAUGAUCUGUUUGCUAGCAGCAUGGUGAAAGAUUUCAUCUGUUUCUACCAAAGGCUCCAGAGGA